AAGAUGGACUCUCAGGAUUCAGGGGAUCAUGGCAGACGGAAGGCAGGACUAGAUUGCAGCUCUGGACAGAGCAGCAUGCAGAAGCUUGCAUUGCGAAUUUUAACUUCAGGUUGACUGCAAGAACAAACCAGCAAUCCCAGGAGGACCCACAGACCCUCUGAAGGAAGCAGACUUCUCCUGUAGGACCUGAGAGACACCCCAAAUACUCUUUGAUCUCCAGGUAAUACUGGCUUCCUCAAAUCCAUUGAGAAGUGUGACCGGCCUGAAACAGUUCCUAUAAACUUGAUAAAUUAAUGAGGGAAGAAGAGAAGGGAGAAACAAAAUAUGCCCAGCUUGCAGCCCACUCGGCGUUCAUCAUGAGGUCAGCUGCUCUCUGACGCUUCUUCUGAGCUGCAUAGUGCCUGUUGUGCUGUAGUCGUGUAGACCCUGUAGUUUCCCUUAACUGCUCUAUAGAUAGAGUUUCAUGAUGUUCAAGUUACGUUUUCCUUUUGGGAGACUGCUUCAGGUCCUGUAUACUGAUGCAGCUACUGACUCAGCUGGUCUUAAGGACCCCAUGAGGAGCUGACUCAAAAGAACAGUUUCUACAUCCUGAUGAUUUCAUCCCCCAUACCCCAUCCAAUCAACAACCCUAAUUUUCCAACCCCUCACCCUCCACAGUCCUCUUAAAAACCCCAGCUCAGAACUCCUCAGGGAGAUGCAUUUGAGGGUCUCCUCCCAUCUCCUCACUUGAUGCACUAUGAUCAUUAAACUUUCUCUGCAAACCCUGCUGUCUCAGUGUAAUUGGUCUACUGCACAGCAGUAUAUGAACCUGUUGGUCCUAUAACAUGCUUUUUUCUUUUUUGGAAGUGAUAUAUGAAACUGGUGUUACCUUGACUUUGAAUGUUUGGUAAAACCCUCCAGUGAAA
rnacentral:lncRNA from 10 species